UAACAGUUUACCUCCAUCUUCUCUAUUAACUUUGCUUGUCACACGCCAGUCGCAAAGCACACAAACGUGAUCACAUGAUCAUGUGACUGCGGGACACUGCAAUGCUUGCACUGCAAAUGGAUAGAAACUGAAGUCAAGAAUGGAUGCCCUUCAGCCAUCCAGACAGUGCCAUCUGAAGCCUUCUAAGUAGAAUCGCACAACCAAGCCUGAACAAGGGAAUUUCAGUCAGAACUUGGCCCCGUUGAAAGCAGUGGUUGGAAAGGCCCCCCGAGGCAACAUCAGUGCUGCAGCAAUUGAGGACAUGGCAGAAGAAAUGUAAUGUAAAAGAUGUGCUUUGAGAGAAAGAAAGUUGGAGGAUUUUUCACAAAAGACAACAUGCUUUAAAAUAUCCUCAGCAAAGACCUGGCAUAAAAGAUCAUACACUCGUGAUUCUGUUGCAUUUUGAUAACAUACAGAGCAGGAUGAAACAAACAGGAUACCUUAGA